rnacentral:lncRNA from 1 species
CAUGGAAGUCACAUUUAAUUGCUUCCUCUUACUAUAUAUGGUAAGCUGGAAAUGGUAUCAUGAAGCUAAUCUUGUAAUCCUUUUCUUCCUGAAAGGAGAACAGUGGAAUUCUGUGAGCCAGAGAAAUGUAGGCAGCUGGGAGUCGAACUUAAGCACCAGUAUGAAUCUAUGGUUAUCAUCCAAACUAAAGGGAAUGAAAGCUUUACUCUGAAGGAAAUGGGUCCAGU